CUGCAACCAAUUAAGCCAACCUGGUUCCUCUUCCGGUGGAUCCUGCAAUGGCUGCAGACAGCAUCCUCCUGGAUAGUGUACACAGCCUCUUCCUUGUAUAGGUUGCUCUAAGGGACCUAGGAGACAAAG